rnacentral:rRNA from 1 species
UUCCAGACUCCUACGGGAGGCAGCAGUGAGGAAUAUUGGUCAAUGGGAGAGAUCCUGAACCAGCCAAGCCGCGUGAGGGAAGACGGCCCUAUGGGUUGUAAACCUCUUUUGUCGGAGAACAAAACCCGGGACGUGUCCCGGACUGCGUGUAUCCGAAGAAAAAGCAUCGGCUAACUCCGUGCCAGCAGCCGCGGUAAUACGGAGGAUGCGAGCGUUAUCCGGAUUUAUUGGGUUUAAAGGGUGCGUAGGCGGGCUUUUAAGUCAGCGGUAAAAAUUCGGGGCUCAACCCCGUCCGGCCGUUGAAACUGGGGGCCUUGAGUGGGCGAGAAGAAGGCGGAAUGCGUGGUGUAGCGGUGAAAUGCAUAGAUAUCACGCAGAACUCCGAUUGCGAAGGCAGCGCACCGGCGCCCUACUGACGCUCAGGCACGAAAGCGUGGGUAUCGAACAGGAUUAGAUACCCCAGUAAUC